rnacentral:lncRNA from 1 species
UCAUUUAUUUACGACCAUAAAAGUUUACAUACUUUGAUCGGUCACUAGAAUCAUAUAUUUAGUACCACGGAAGCAUACAUAUAUACUAGGACCAAUCACUAGAACCGAGCGGUUGUAGUAAGUACUAAGGGGGACUUCUUACGGAGUAUAACGCCAUAUUUCUCACUCAUGUCCAAGUCCUCGUGUUUGACUCCAUUUGGCAAUCCAACGUCAAACUUGUAUACGAUAUUUGCUACUGCAAGCUCCAUGAUAGCUACUCCAAAUUGAAUGCCAGGGCAUGUUCUUCGACCAGCACCAAAUGGAAGCCACUCAAAAUUAAGGCCUUUGUAGUCAAUUUUAUUUUUCAAGAACCUUUCAGGUCUAAACUCUUCUGCUUCUUCCCACAACAUAGGAUCUCUUCCUAUCGCCCAAGCAUUGACAAUAACUUGUGUACGUGCUGGAAUAUCAUACCCCAUUAGUUUCACAUCUUGUGUGGAUAUCCGUGGAAGUAGAAGUGGGGCUGGCAUAUGCAGUCGCAAGCUCUCUUGUAUGACGGCUUUUAGAUAAUGCAUUUUCUCCAAAUCCUCCUCAGCAAUUAUGUGUCUUCCUUGAGCUACUUCGGUUACUUCGUGUUGUAGCUUUUUCAUUGCUCCUGGGUGUCUUACUAGCUCGCUCAUUACCCACUCUAGACUUGAUGCUGCAGUGUCUAUUCCGCCAACAAAUACAUCCUAAAAAGAAAAAGGGAAUGGUACAUAAGUAACUAAAACAAUAUGAUGAGAUGAAACUUGGUUAAGAAGAUUAACUCAUACCAAGAUUACAGCUUUAACAGUAUCUCUUUGAAAGGUAAAGUCCGUUGUUCCAUCUUUCUGGACGUUUAGUAAAAUAUCAACGAAGUCUUUUCCUUUGUUUGGGACUGCUUCAGCCGCUCCUUUCUUCAUUACAUGUUCUUCGAUAACACCUUCAAGAAACUCAUCAAAUUGUCUAGCAACUGCUUUAGCCCGUCCCACUAAACCAGUAACAUGAUCAACCCAUGACAACCAUGGAACAUAAGUGCCAACACUAAAAAAAGUGAACAUGUCUAAGAAAGUUUGUAUUAUUUUUUU